GUCAAGUUUAUCCACUGCCUGUUUUUGUAAAUAAAGUGUUACUGGAACACUGCCACACGCAUUUAUUUAAGCAUUGCCUGAAUCUGUAGCUGCUUUUGUGCUGUAACCACAGACUGAGUAGUUGUGACAGACACCUUCGGACUCACAAAAGCCUGAACUAUUUACUUUGCAGAAGAUGUUUCCGACCCUGGCUUUCACACGUAAUUAUGCUGCUGAGGGAUUGCUGUACCAAGAUGAAAGCUUUGUUAUUGCCAGUCCCACUGUUCACAUCUCCCUGCUAUGCUCCAUCAGACCAGCCUCUGGGUAAAAAUCCAACAGCUCCUUAACAAAUCAAGAACACUAGCCAGAGGGGAAGAGAGCUCAGAGAACAGAGAGAAAGAGAAAGAGAAGAGAGAGAGAGAGAGCAAGCGAGCUGCUGGAUCACCUCCCAAAUGUAUACAACAUCCAGGGCUGGGUCAAUUCAAACCCAGAAGCCAGAACUCAAUCCAAGUUUCCUACAUGGAUGGUAGGAACCCAAUUUCUCAGCCUGUCACUGCUGCUUCCAGAGUGCAUUAGCAGGAAGCUGGAGUCAGGAGUCAGAUUCCGGUGUGGAAUCAGGGUACUGAAGUGUGGGAUGUGGGCAUCCUAGCACCUACACUAAAAGGCUGCUCCCCUAUAGUAGACUCUUUCAUGUGCUGCUCUUCUGACAGAAGUGCCUGUCUUUUCCCCCUCCCCUCCAUCCAUUUUCUUUU